GACAGAGGUGCCAAGCGUUAGGCGGAAUCACUGGCUUAAAGCGUGUGUAGGUGGAAGCGUAAGUACCUGUGAAAUCCCACGGCUUAACCGUGGAACUGCUUGGUAUACUGCGUUUCUUGAGCCAACUAGGGGCUAGUUGGAACAAGUGGUGGAGCGGUGAAAUGCGUGGAUAUCACUUGGAACGCCAAUGGUGAAACAGAUAGCUGGGUGUGC
rnacentral:rRNA from 1 species